rnacentral:rRNA from 1 species
GUGCCAGCAGCCGCGGUAAUACGUAGGUGGCAAGCGAUACUCGGAAUCACUAGGCGUAAAGCGCAGGUAGGAGGUUUAGUAAGUCUGUUGUGAAAGCUCCCGGCUUAACUGGGAGAGGUCAACGGAAACUGCUAGGCUAGAGUGCGGUAGAGGUAGCUGGAAUUCCCGGUGUAGCGGUGAAAUGCGUAGAUAUCGGGAGGAAUACCUAUGGCGAAAGCAGGCUACUGGACCGUCACUGACUCUGAUCUGCGAAAGCUAGGGGAGCAAACAGGAUUAGAUACCCGAGUAGUCC